rnacentral:rRNA from 1 species
CUUAAAAGGCGGGGCUUUAACGCCGAGAGCUGAUGGCGAGCGCGUUAGCGCGAAGUCGUUGAUACCACGCUUCCAAGAAAAGUCUCGUGGGGAGUCUGCAGGGUGUCCGUAUCGCAAACCGACACAGGUGGGUGAGGAGAAAAUCCUAAGGCGAUUGAGAGAACUCUCUCCAAGGAACUCGGCAAAUUACCACCGUAACUUCGGAAGAAGGUGGGCCCUCCGUAGGUGUAGUCGUACAGACGAAGCCGAUGAGGGUUGCAGAGAAAUGGCGGUAGCGACUGUUUACCAAAAACACAGGACUCUGCGAAGACGACAAGUCGACGUAUAGGGUCUGACUCCUGCCCGGUGCUGGAAGGUUAAGGGGAUUCGUCAGCCGCAAGGCGAAGCGAUGAUCCGAAGCCCCAGUAAACGGCGGCCGUAACUAUAACGGUCCUAAGGUAGCGAAAUUCCUUGUCGGGUAAGUUCCGACCUGCACGAAUGGAGUAACGACUUCCGCGCUGUCUCGGAGAGGGACUCAGCGAAAUUGAAAUAGCUGUGCCGAUGCAGUUUACCCGCAGCAAGACGGAAAGACCCCGUGAACCUUUACUACAACUUGACAGUGACACUAGGGAUUGACUGUGUAGGAUAGGUGGGAGCCUUUGAAACCGGGCCGCUAGGUUCGGUGGAGGCAACGGUGAAAUACCACCCUGUUGAUUUCUGGUGUCUAACCGUGUCCCAUAAUCUGGGAUCGGGACACUGUCUGGUGGGUAGUUUGACUGGGGCGGUCGCCUCCCAAACCGUAACGGAGGCGCGCGAUGGUUCCCUCAGCCCGAUUGGAAACCGGGCGGCGAGUGCAAUGGCAUAAGGGAGCUUAACUGCGAGACAGACAUGUCGAGCAGGUGCGAAAGCAGGUCAUAGUGAUCCGGUGGUUCUGAAUGGAAGGGCCAUCGCUCAACGGAUAAAAGGUACUCCGGGGAUAACAGGCUUAUCUCCUCCAAGAGUUCACAUCGACGAGGAGGUUUGGCACCUCGAUGUCGGCUCAUCGCAUCCUGGGGCUGGAGCAGGUCCCAAGGGUUUGGCUGUUCGCCAAUUAAAGCGGUACGCGAGCUGGGUUCAAAACGUCGUGAGACAGUUUGGUCCCUAUCUGCUGUGGGCGUAGGAUACUUGAGAGGAUCUGUCCUUAGUACGAGAGGACCGGGAUGGAGACACCUCUGGUGUACCAGUUGUCACGCCGGUGGCAUCGCUGGGUAGCCAUGUGUCGAUUGGAUAACCGC